CAUGAGAACAAAGACAUUGCUGCUUUUGUUCAUUGCUGUGUCCCAAAAGUCUGGCACAUAUACAUAUGUGGAAUCCCUAUCCAACCUAAGGAAGAUGAGCCAGAAGGGAAGAAAUCACAUCUGGUUUUAUUCAUAAACAAAGUUUUGAGGACCCACUAUGUACUAGGAGACUAUGUGAUAUAUCAGUGAAAGCAGUGGAUGAGGAGUUGGAACAACUGUAUUUAAGAAGGACAUUUCCUGAAUCUUCCCUGGUUUGUGAAGUGAGCUAUGUGGCCUUGUCGAUUAUUGGUUUGCAUGCAGGUGGAAAAUGAGGAGUUCUGAAUCUUCAUUUUCGAAGCAAUAAACCACUUGAGGAUAAAACUGUUCUUUAUACUUCUGGGAAAGCAGUCGGUGAGACCCAGGCACAGGAGGAGAGUUCGUUAGCUACCACAUGUAAAGCUGAGAGCAGAUGGCGCCGUUGAUACAGAACGCAGGAAUGUGCGUGUUUAUGCGGAAUGCACACAGCAUUACAUUGGUCAGCUAGAACCCAGAACCACACAUGGAAGGAGCGGACAACAGAACAGUAUGUAACUGUGGUGACUGAAGAAAACGGGAAAUUUAUAAAAACAUGUAAAGAAGCAGAAUAAAAGUAACCCAUAUACUCAGUACUGAGAGAUAAAUGCUAUUAACAUGGAACAGAGUCUCAUCUUUUUCUUGAAACAUUUCUAUUUUAUUAUAGGAGAUUUAGCAUCAGCAAUUUGCUUAUGAAGUAUGACGUAGUGAUUAAGGGCCCAGGUUUUGGGUUGCUUUGCUAGGUUUGAAUAUUAGAUCCCUCACUAAUAACUGUAUCACCUUUGGGUAAAAUAAUGAACACCUGUUCCCUCUGUUUAUUUUAUCUAAAAUGAGGAUAAAAAUAGUACCUACGUGUGUUAGGUAGAAUAUGGCCUUCUAAAGAUGUCCAUGCCCUAAUCCCCAGAACCUAUGAAUAUGCUAGGUUUCAUGGUAAAGGGGAAUUAAUAUUAAAGAUGGAAUUAAGUUUGCUAAUCAGCUGACUAUGAGAUGCGUAGUUUAUACUGAAUUAUCCAGGUGGAACCCCAACGUGACCACAAAAGUUGUCAUAAGUAGGAGAGGCAGGAGAGAAAGAACCGGAGAUAUGGUAGUCUGAGAAGACUCAGCCUGACCUUCCUGCCUUUGAAGAUGGAGAAAUGGUGCCACAAAUGAGGAAGGAAGGCUAGAAAGUAUCUAGAAAAGGGAAGAAAAUGGAUUUUUCCUUAAAGCCUCCAGAAGGAACAUAGCCUUGCCAACACCUUGAGUUUAGUCCAAUGAGACCCAGUGAACUGUAAGAGAAGAAAGUUGUGUUGUUUUAAAUCACUAAGGUUUUGAUAAUUUGUUACAGCAAGAAUAGGAAAUUAAUAUGUGAAUUCAUGGGAUUGUUGUGAGAAUUAAAUGAGAUGAUACGUGUAAUCAUGAUUAAAAUAGAUCCUCGUACAUGGUAACUGUUCAAUAAAUGUGAUUAUUUUCUAGAAAAAAUUAUAAUUAUAUAUGUCAUACAUAUAAUUAUAAUUCAAUGUUAUAUGUAUACAUAAUCUCCUGUUGUUGCAUAGUUCAGUUGUAUUCAAUUUCCUGUUAUUAGAAAAAUACUUCAAUGGAAAAACUCUAUGGAGACCUGUCUGUCUUGAUGCCUAUUACAGACUA